ACUUGGAGAGGGGACACAGGGGCGCGUCCCGGGGGCGUUGGAGUGUUUCCAGAGAGGGGCGAUCCACGACCAUCCUCUUCCAGUGCUCUGCCACCCUCGACAUAAAAAAGGUCUCCAUGCCGAGGGAAAGAAACUGCCUCAUGAAGUCUCCUGGUUAUCUGCUCUGAGAACAAGAGUCAGCUCUGACUUGGAGCCAGAGGAAGGCUGCCAGCACAGGCUGAAGUCAGCAGAGGGCAACAUGGCUGCAUAGACUAACAGAGCUGCAAGGAUGUGUUAGAGAGAGAAGCAGAGCAUUCUAUUUCUUUGGAAUACUGAAUAUUUUCUUGCAUUACAAAUUGGAUUUUUACGUAUAUAUCUAUUCACACGUGUUUAUUUGUACAUAUCAAUAUUAUCAAUCUAGAUAUACUAUUACACUGGAUCUGACUUGAGAAAACAAAAUUAAAAUAUCUACCACACUCCAUCCAAGGA